CAGCCGCCGCGGUAAAACGGUGGGAGCUAGCGUUGUUCGGAAUUACUGGGCGUAAAGCGCACGUAGGCGGUUACUCAAGUCAGAGGUGAAAGCCCGGGGCUCAACCCCGGAACCGCCUUUGAAACUAGGUGACUAGAAUCUUGGAGAUGUCAGUGGAAUUCCGAGUGUAGAGGUGAAAUUCGUAGAUAUUCGGAAGAACACCAGUGGCGAAGGCGACUGACUGGACAAGUAUUGACGCUGAGGUGCGAAAGCGUGGGGAGCAAACAGGAUUAGAGACCCGCGUAGUCCCUGUCUCUUAUAC
rnacentral:rRNA from 1 species